ensembl:miRNA gmo-mir-205-1 gmo-mir-205-1
UCCUUCAUUCCACCGGAGUCUGUAUCCAUGGUAACCAGAUUUCAGUGGUGUGAAGAGUA